rnacentral:misc_RNA from 1 species
GAUGAAGAACGUAGCGAAAUGCGAUAAGUAAUGUGAAUUGCAGAAUUCAGUGAAUCAUCGAAUCUUUGAACGCACAUUGCGCGCCUUGGUAUUCCGAGGGGCAUGCCUGUUCGAGCGUCAUUAUAACCCCUCAAGCUCAGCUUGGUGUUGGGGCCUGCUGCACUGGCAGCCCUUAAAAUCAGUGGCGGCGCCAUCUGGCUCUAAGCGUAGUAAUUCUUCUCGCUAUGGAGUCCUGGUGGAUGCUUGCCAUCAACCCCCAAUUUUUCUAUGGUUGACCUCGGAUCAGGUAGGGAUACCCGCUGAACUUAAGCAUAUCAAUAAGCGGAGGA